rnacentral:lncRNA from 1 species
GACAACAUUCAGCCCAAGGUUCUUAAGUGCGUUCAUCUGCAGUUCAUUUACUAACUCUCAAAGAUGUACACAUCUUUGCAAAACAAUAAAUAUUGACAAUGCAGAACCAGAACUUAAUCUGGAAGAUCAAAGAUUCACUAUAUAUAGCGCAAAUGCAGAGGAUAGACAAAAAUGAAAUCAGCAAGUAAAUGGCCUCAUACAGUAUCAAGAAGAGCUCCAAGGCGAUCGCCAAAGGUUAUCUCCACUAUGGUUGCAUCCGGGUCAGAAUCUAGGUCUAUUAUGACUUUGGGAGUCGGAAUUGUAUCAGUGUCACCAUUACUUCCAUCCUGUUUACAAUUCCAUAACCACGUCCAACAACCAAAAAGAGAACGGAAACAUUAACUGCUUAAAUUGUACAAACACUAAUCAAUAGAGAAAAAUCAAUUCAUACCUCCACAGCUGUAGCUGAGGAGGCUCGAGGAAUUAUUCUAGUUGCUGAAGAUGAGAAUCUGAAAAAAGUACACGAGGAAAUAUACAUCCAAAAAUCAAACAAAUAUUGACAUAAUUAUGUGACUACGAGAGAAACAUGGUUAGUCUAUACAAACAUUUUUAGCACGAAAACAGGAAAAUAAGCAAAGAUUACAGCCUUUAUCACAGUUAAGUACUUGUCAAAGAUAUGCUGCACUAUCAAACACACUGCUGUACGGCCAAGGCGGAUGUACGGUACAGCAGUUUUUCAUCCACUAGUGAGAAGAGCCAAAAGUAUCAAUAAUCUGAAAAAAAUCAAGAUAGGACCAGAAAGCAAAGACCUGUUGUUUUGGAGGAUCAACGCCAAAGGCAACACCCAUUGCUAACUGGGAACUUGAUUCCUGAUUCCAACACCAACACAAAUGGAAUAAGCUUUUCAAUAAGACAAUUCCUACAGGUGCUCCACCAAGUGAUAUCUCAAGAGAGACAAAAAAAUGAUUACCGGGUGAUACUGAAGUAGAUUGUUUAUAACUGUCAAACGAAUUGCCUCAAGCACCUCAGGAUCAUCAACUUUCCUACCAGUAUCACUGCACACAAGCAUCAUGACCAAAUUAAUCAAAGCCACAGUGGGAAUCUAUUGCAAGAACUGCUCCAAAAAACACCAAUGGCUCUUUGGAUCAUUGAUUCUAGGUUCUAGUAUGUCUAAAAUUUUAACGAUUUCAACAUUAGUUAUAAACGUCUAUUAGCAACAGACUGAUCAUACUUGUAUAUGGAGAAUCUAAAGUAGGUAUUUACUAUGCUCAUCAAAUAUAGACCAGAAGAUGUUGACAACAAUUAAAGGAUAUUAGUGAAUGAAACUGCAAGCAGAUAAUAUAAAUCAGCUCAGUAAUGCAAGGGCAUGAAAAGCAAAAUGCAUAUGCAUCACAAAACAUACGCUUUGGUAAUGGCAAACUUGUUGUGCUUCCCAGAAGAAUCCAAAAAAACAUUUGCCUUGACAACAUUCAGCCCAAGGUUCUUAAGUGCGUUCAUCUGCAGUUCAUUUACUAACUCUCAAAGAUGUACACAUCUUUGCAAAACAAUAAAUAUUGACAAUGCAGAACCAGAACUUAAUCUGGAAGAUCAAAGAUUCACUAUAUAUAGCGCAAAUGCAGAGGAUAGACAAAAAUGAAAUCAGCAAGUAAAUGGCCUCAUACAGUAUCAAGAAGAGCUCCAAGGCGAUCGCCAAAGGUUAUCUCCACUAUGGUUGCAUCCGGGUCAGAAUCUAGGUCUAUUAUGACUUUGGGAGUCGGAAUUGUAUCAGUGUCACCAUUACUUCCAUCCUGUUUACAAUUCCAUAACCACGUCCAACAACCAAAAAGAGAACGGAAACAUUAACUGCUUAAAUUGUACAAACACUAAUCAAUAGAGAAAAAUCAAUUCAUACCUCC